CUCGAGUUCAGGAAAAGUUUCAAGUGAUUCACAUUCACUAAGGUCUAACUUGAUGAGUUUGCUAAGAUUUCCAAUGGAAGAUGGAAUAGUCUCAAGCUUUGUGCAAUUUCGCAAGCUCAAUUCUUCAAGCCCGGCCAAAUGGUGGAAGGAUGAAGGUAUUUUUUUUAUUGUUGUUUUAUCUAAGAUGAGCACUUCUAGAUUUUCCAUAGUCACCUCGAGUUCAGGAAAAGUUUCAAGUGAUUCACAGUUAGUAAGGUCUAACUUGAUGAGUUUGCUUAGGUUUCCAAUGGAAGAUGGAAUGGUCUUAAGCUUUGUGCAAUUUCGCAAACUCAAUUCUUCAAGCCCAACCAAAUGGUGAAAGGAUGAAGUUAGUUCUUUUAUUGUUGUUUCGUCUAAGAUGAGGACUUCUAGAUUUUCCAUAGUCACCUCGAGUUCAGGAAAAGUUUCAAGUGAUUCACAGUCACUAAGGUCUAACUUGACGAGGUUGCUAAGAUUUCCAAUGGAAGAUGGAAUAAUCUUAAGCUUUGUGCAACUUCGCAAGUUCAAUUCUUCAAGCCCGGCCAAAUGGUGGAAGGAUGAAGGAAGUUCUUUUAUUGCUGUUUUGUCUAAGAUGAGCACUUCAAGAUUUUCCAUAGUCACCUUGAGUUCAGGAAAAGUUUCAAGUGAUUCACAGUCAGUAAGGUCUAACUUGAUGAGUUUGCUGAGAUUUCCAAUUGAAGACGGAAUAUUCUUAAGCUUUGUGCAACUUCGCAAGCUCAAUUCUUCAAGGCCGACCAAAUGGUGCAAGGAUGAAGGUAGUUCUUUUAUGGUUGUUUCUUCUAAGAUGAGCACUUCUAGAUUUUCCAUAAUUACCUCAAGUUCAGGAAAAGUUUCAAGUGAUUCACAGCAAGUAAGGUCUAACUUGAUGAGUUUGCUGAGAUUUCCAAUGGAAGAUGGAAUAGUCUUAAGCUUUGUGCAACUUCGUAAGCUUAAUUCUUCGAGUCCGACCAAAUGGUGCAAGGAUGAAGGCAAUUCUUUUAUUGCUGUUUUGUCUAGGAUUAGCACUUCUAGAUUUUCCAUAGUCAUCGCGAGUUCAGGAAAAGUUUCAAGUGAUUCACAAUUAGUAAGGUCUAACUUGAUGAGUUUGCUGAGGUUUCCAAUGGAAGAUGGAAUGGUCUUAAGCUUUGUGCAACUUCGCAAGCUCAGUUCUUAAGCCCGGUCAAAUGGUGCAAGGAUGAAGGUAGGAGUUCUUUUAUUGCUGUUUCGUCUAAGAUAAGCACUGAUAGAUUUUCCCUUGUCUAUUUGAUUUCAGGUAACUCCUCCAAUUUUAAACAACCACGGAAACUAAGUCUUCUUAGAAGCUUUAAAUUUAAAAGUUCUGCUGGCAUG
rnacentral:lncRNA from 1 species